UGGAUUUCUUUAUGAAAAAAUUACCUGAAUACAUAUCUUUUGUUUAUAUAUUCACAAUAUUUCCCAAUCAUUUUUAAAAAAAUACAAAAAUCUCUAUUUUCUCCCAAAUCUAAACUACUGAUACAUUAAUUUUUUAGAAUUUCAAACAAUUACUUUUCGCCCCUAAAUUUGCUCCUCUAUUUUUACUCAAUAACCAAACCUAUUUUUCCGCUCCCAAAGUUUCUCUGCCAGUUUCUCAACUGAUUCGUCUUCCCAAUUUUGAAUUUCAAAAUUGUGCUCUGUCUACCAUCUUCUCCAUUCAACAAAUUUCAAGUAAUCCUGAAUUGGCAAAAAACGGGUCUAAGAGCUUCCAUAAUCUUUUAACAAUGGAUAAGCAAAUUUUCAAGAAGACAAAAACCAAAAAAGAGGCACAUACAAAGACACCCACGAAGAGGGGUAGAAAGGUUGACAUCACCAUAACCAGACCUCCACUACCAUCGUUAUCGGCAGUUUCCGUGGAGACAAGGGGCCUUCAGCAGGUUAAUGAAUUCACUUAGACAAGAGUUCAAAUCUGGAAAAAAAAUGUAUUGCUUAAAUGGUAUGUCAUACAUACUUAAUGUAUGGGUAUAUGAAUGUGCGUCUAUGUUAGAUAAUGAGAUAGCGGUUAAAGAACAAAAUGUUAUUCCAAGAAUCUGCAAUUGGAAAGUUGUGGCUGAAAAGCCCAAAUUUGAGAUGUUUAUGGAAAGUAUUUUUACGGAGGUAAUUAAUGUACAACUUUUCAGUCUUUUUUUUAUAGUUCUCGAUACAUUUUGUGUUGCUUCUAGUCAAUAUUCAACAUUUUGUUUUUACAGAAAAAUUGUACUAAUAUUCAGCCAACCGGCAAGGAAAUGAUAUCACUUGAGUUACCUUAUACCAAUCACGUAUCUCUAACUGAACUUGCCCCGUCAAAUGUUAAUCUUGAGGUUAGGCAGACACAAGAGGUUCCUGGAUUUGAAGAAUUUUCACCAAACCAGCGGAUCAAUUGUUAAGGGGAUCAAUACGAGUCUCUAGCACAGUAUCUACCCCACCACCGAAGAGAAGAAAAGUCGUACAUCCACAUAAAACUAAGGUUCCCAAAUCCACACAAACAGACAAGCAACCAAAUCAACAUGUUCAAACUCCAGAUUUAUCAACGUCGGAAGCUGACAAUGUAUAUGGUGUUUGUGAUAAUUCAAAUAUUCGAAAAGUAAUUUUCGACAAUUUUACAAUUAGAGGGACUCAAGCAAUACUUGAAGGGUUAUGUGAGUACUACAAUCAUAUAUGUUUGUAAACA